UGCCGGAUAAAUGUCGACUUGCCGCCCAUAUUUGGUCCUGCAGACAAGAAGAGAGGAGAAUCGGUGAUGACAAAUGAACAGAAUACAAGAAGAAAGUUUCAUGGAGUAUUGCAGUUAUUCAAAACUGAAGUGACUCUCAGAUAAAAACCCAGCAUGGCGUUCGACUCCAACUUCACCGUUUUACCAGCAUCUAGACCUGAGAGACGACAAAAUUGCAUCAAUAGGUUCAGGUAAUAAGUUCUUUCCCAAGUACUUUUAUGCUGAUUAUCUAUAUCCUAGAGCUCUUUUUGUGGUCCAAUAAAUACGCCCUCCACCGUUGAGUCUACCAUGGGAUCCUCGUCCUGGAAAGGAGGCAUCUAAUAUAAUUACCCAUGGUCAUGGAUGACAUUUCUGAUGCCCUUUUUACUUAUUUAUUUAUUUUUAUUAAUAAAAUUAGGAUCCGUGACAAAUCUAGCUUCAUCCACUCAUACAGACAAUCAAAAUCGUGUUUAACAUCCACUGAGAGAGCUUCCCAGCAAUGUCCUGGGAAAAUGUAUGAGCAGUAGUUUUGAUAGGUCUUGUCUUCACAGAUGCCUUAUGUCAAAUAGAGUCUUAACUAAACUAGUAUUAACCUCGGACUUUUAAGAAUUCACAAAUUAUGUAAAUUUUUUCAUCCAUCAUUUCUCCUCAUGCAAAGACUUUAUCUGCUUCAGUCACAGUAACCACAAGAAUUUAUGACGUAAAAAGUUAAAAUCUCAUGACGACGGCGCUGUGUAAUCGAGUUGCAAUGGCAUUUCAAACCACAGCUUAAAAAACAUAGGCGCGCCUAUUCACUAACACAGUAUCAAACAGACAGAUAACGGACAGAUAAUCUUAAUUUGACCGUGUGUUUCGUGCACAAGCGUGUGCUUGAGCUCUCACCUAGCUCUCUGGCUGCACUGUUCAGCACCGUCUGCAUGCUCUUGUCCAGCUCAUCCAUCUUUUCUCUCAGCUCACUCAGCACGGCGUCAAACGAAGCCUUCACCAGGUACUCGUGGUGGUCAAUCUGCACAGAGACAUAUCAUAAUGUCAACAUAGAAUACACAGCGUUAUUCUUCCUUUUACCACGCGUAAAAGAAAUGUUAACGAUCAGACCUGGUUCAUGUCCAGAGUGGUUUCAAUCAUUUCCUGGUACUUGGUGAAAUCAGCCUGCAGGUCUCUGAGAGGGGAAAUGAACGCUGCCUCCAACAGAACCUGGUAGCUGCCUACAAUAGAGCCACAAUCACACAAAUCAAAAUUUGACGAGUACAUAGUGUGCGGUACGAAGUAUGAUUUGACCAGGGACGAUAGCAUUUAUGUCAAAUUGAGCAAUCAUACAAAUACAAGACGUCCUGGCACUAUUGAUUCUAGCUGGUUUAAUUGUUGUGGUGUGACUGGGCAACAAACAGCUAAAAGGUUCGCAUGUACCCGAGUAGCUCUCUAAAGCCGUGAUGAGGGCAGGGAUCUGGUUCACGGCCUGGUAGACGCGGUAACAGUCCUGCAGUGUUGCACUGUGACGGUGGAACUUCUUGGCCAGGCGGUGAAGAUCGGGAAACCGCCGCAGCAGGUCCUCCUGACAGGUGUGCCUGAGCUCCGAGUCACACACGAAGCUCUCGACAAGGUCCAGCCUGUUAUGUUUGCGUGUGCACACACGGAGAAAAUGUCACAUAUUUGUUGUUGGAUUGCUUUUGUCUGCAUCUACGAUGAACGGUUAGCUGCUACUGCUCCAUGCGACUGUUUUAGCUCAGCCGUAGACAUAAAGAAAUAUUUUUCAUUUAUAGUUUAUCCCCAUCUCCGUGUUACCUCUCCUCUAUUUUGGGUUUGUCCAUGAGGGGUUGUUUGAUCCACUGGUUGACCAGCCGCUGACCCUGGGGUGUACGGCACUUGUUCAACAGACCAGCCAAUGAAUGUGCUCUGCUGCUCUCAUCAGGAGAAGCCUAGAGGACACAGGUACAGAGGCCUUCACAUUUUAUGUAAUAUCUCACAAGGUUUGUCCAACACACACUGCUGUGAAACAAAAACAAGCUGUUACACAGGAGUCAGUGACUCAGUACAUACAUUCAGGUUUAUGAAAAGGUACAAAUAAACAAAGAAAAACUUCCCCAUUGCACAUCAAAUGAACACUUGAACAAAACUCUCAACACUGUCUCCUCAGUAAAGUAACUGUAUGUAUUUCAAGCGGUAAAAGUGAUAAAAUGAGACCCUCAAAGUAAUUUUAUAUAUCUAACCUAUUUUGCCCACCAUUUCUUAAAUUUCCCUGAAUCUAGUUUUAAUGAGAAGAGUUAGUCUCUGCAUGAAAAAAAGCAAGCAGUUUGUUACUAGUUAGUCUCAUUACUAGUUAGUUCCCACGACUCUGACAGGAACAUUUAAAUCAUUUUGGGAAACGUAUCCUGUGUGACCCCAUCACGAGAACAAAAUAUGUUCUCGUGAUGCCUGUGAGUCCCACACCGACAUGUGGUCUUGUGAUCUGAAUUUUUUGAAAGCUCACGUGCAACGAGUAACUGGUUCGGACCCAACCUCCCUCACUGACCUGGAAGAGGUUAAGAGCCCUCACUGCGGCGUUGUCCAGCCUCAUGUACUGACCCAGGUCCAGCGUCGUCAGGCUGAAGGAGUUGAAGUUGGACUCGUCAGAGAGCAGUUCGAGGAAGCGCACGACAGCGGCCAAGCAUGACAUAGCCACCUGCCAACGAAAACACAAAGGAAUUCUGCUCAAAUGUUGUGUUAUGUAUUUAACGAUUUGUACAUAACCCUCUUAUUAUCCAGUAAAAAAAACUAGAAUUACCACCCAGGUGUCACUGUGUUGUUGUGGAUGUUGACAUGUGCCAGGAAGCUCUUUCUUUCAUUCACCUGUUUGUCCAGCUCUGGUAGCGUGUUGCUGGCAGCAGUCUCUCCUCUCUUGGAUCUCAAUAGCCGGUUGAGAUCCUGCACCAUGUCCUUGCUACUGAACUCUGCCCUCUUCCUGUCAGAGACCAGCAGGCCGCCGCGCUCCACCACCUACACACAUACAGGGAUUAUAAUUACUGCAAUCUCUAUUUGAACAGUUACGAAGUGCUUUAACAAAAGGAAAAAGAGAACCACUUGUUCAAGAGACACUUUUCCUGAUCUGCUGUCAGUUCUUUGAGAGCAAAAGAGUCAUGUGACAGAGCUAAAUGAUGAGUCAUGGUAACUUAAUCAAUACAUUACACUGCAUAAGCAACACUUUUCAUUGAUUAUUUGUGAAUGAAUUUGUUUGAUUGUUUUGUGCCUGUCCAGGGUGUACCCUACCUUUCGCUCUAUGUAGAGCUGAAACGAUUAAUCAAUGAAUCAAUUAUUAAUCGAUUACUUAAUUAAUCGACAACUAUUUUGAUAAUCGAUUAAUCGGUUUGAAGCUUUUUUCAUGAUUAAAACAAGAUUUCUGAUUGUUAAA